rnacentral:tRNA from 1 species
AAUUAAAUGGCUGAAAGUAAGCGCCGGUCUCUUAAACCGCUUUAUAGUAUAUUAACAAAUACUUUUAAUUA